UACGUAGGGUGCGAGCGUUAAUCGGAAUUACUGGGCGUAAAGCGUGCGCAGGCGGCGCGUUAAGACAGGUGUGAAAGCCCCGAGCUUAACUUGGGAAUUGCGCUUGUGACUGGCGUGCUGGAGUGUGGCAGAGGGAGAUGGAAUUCCACGUGUAGCAGUGAAAUGCGUAGAUAUCUGGAGGAACACCGGUGGCGAAGGCGGCAUCCUGGACCAAUAUUGACGCUGAGGAGCGAAAGCCAGGGGAGCAAACGGG
rnacentral:rRNA from 1 species